GACGAACCGUGCAAACGUUGUUCGGAAUCACUGGGCUUAAAGGGCGCGUAGGCGGGCGGUCCAGUCUUCUGUGAAAUCCUUCGGCUCAACCGGAGAAUCGCAGGAGAUACUGAUCGUCUCGAGGGGGGUAGGGGCAUGUGGAACUUCCGGUGGAGCGGUGAAAUGCGUAGAUAUCGGAAGGAACGCCGGUGGCGAAAGCGACGUGCUGGACCCUUACUGACGCUGAGGCGCGAAAGCCAGGGGAGCAAACGGG
rnacentral:rRNA from 1 species